UACGUAGGGCGCAAGCGUUGUCCGGAAUUAUUGGGCGUAAAGAGCUCGUAGGCGGUUUGUCGCGUCUGCUGUGAAAACCUAAGGCUCAACCUUGGGCUUGCAGUGGGUACGGGCAGACUAGAGUGCGGUAGGGGUGACUGGAAUUCCUGGUGUAGCGGUGAAAUGCGCAGAUAUCAGGAGGAACACCGAUGGCGAAGGCAGAUCUCUGGGCCGUAA
rnacentral:rRNA from 1 species